rnacentral:rRNA from 1 species
UACGUAGGUGGCAAGCGUUGUUCGGAAUAACUGGGCGUAAAGGAUGCGUAGGCGGUUAAAUAAGUUAUAUGUUAAAUAUAUAGGCUUAACCUGUAGAAAGCAUAUAAAACUGUUUAACUAGAGUGCAGGAGAGGUAAGUGGAAUUCCUAGUGUAGCGGUGAAAUGCGUAGAGAUUAGGAAGAACACCAGUGGCGAAGGCGACUUACUGGACUGUAACUGACGCUGAGGCAUGAGAGCAUGGGGAGCAAACAGG